rnacentral:misc_RNA from 1 species
GAUGAAGAACGUAGCGAAAUGCGAUACUUGGUGUGAAUUGCAGAAUCCCGUGAACCAUCGAGUCUUUGAACGCAAGUUGCGCCCGAAGCCAUUAGGCCGAGGGCACGCCUGCCUGGGCGUCACACGUCGUUGCCCCCCCAUCUACUCCUUCGGGAUUGCGGGGGCGGAUGAUGGCCUCCCGUGCGCCUCGUCGCGCGGUUGGCCUAAAUGCCAAGUCCUCGGCGACGCACGCCACGACAAUCGGUGGUUGCGAAACCUCGGUUGCCUGUCGUGUGCGGUCGUCGCGCAUCGAGGGCUCGAAAAAAUUGCCGGGCUUCGGCUCGACUUUCAACGCGACCCCAGGUCAGGCGGGGUUACCCGCUGAAUUUAAGCAUAUCAAUAAGCGGAGGA